AGUUGGAAAACCUAGCUCAAUUCUCAUACAGUCAUCCAUCAAAUGUUAUACACGCACACCCAAAAAAAAAAAAUUACAUAAGUAGCUGUGGAGUAUUUAAAGAGUAACAUGAAAUAAGUUACAAACCAAUAACAACAAAAAAAUGCGAGGAAAAUAAGUAGGUAAACGUUUAACAAUAAAGAUUGCUUUUCUUGUCUCCUGAGAAAAAUAAACAAACAAAAAUAAGUAAGUAUUCACCUAAGAGAGUUAAGAGAGUUUAGAUAUCAAAUAUAAUUAUUAUUUCUAUAACUACUAAGGACUAAUGCAGUCAUAAUAUGAAAUGCACGCCAAGUAAAAAUGUGAACAAAACACCGAAUAAUCGCACAAAAAGUUAACUUAGAGUUAAACAUGCAUCCUGUCAUAUCUAUCUCAUAUACAUAUAUGGGAGAAGAUCUCCUAACUUAGCCACUUAGUCUAUAAACCUUACUGGAGAGUGGACGCUACAAUCAUGAUCUCUUAAAAUCUAAAAUUGAUUGGAGAGUAGUAGCUACCAUUAACAGCCCAUGCAAUGGACACAUGUGAAUGUAUGGGCAUACCAAGAUAUUAAAUAAUAUUGAAUUUGUAAAAAUAUAGAAUAU
rnacentral:misc_RNA from 1 species